GGUGAAUUUUCCGCAAUGGGCGAAAGCCUGACGGAGCAAGACCGCGUGGGGGAAGAAGGCUCUUGGGUUGUAAACCCCUUUUCUCUGGGAAGAAAGUUGUGAAAGCAACCUGACGGUACCAGAGGAAUCAGCAUCGGCUAACUCCGUGCCAGCAGCCGCGGUAAGACGGAGGAUGCAAGCGUUAUCCGGAAUGAUUGGGCGUAAAGCGUCCGCAGGUGGCAGUUCAAGUCUGCUGUCAAAGACCGGGGCUUAACCUCGGAAAGGCAGUGGAAACUGAACAGCUAGAGUAUGGUAGGGGCAAAGGGAAUUCCUGGUGUAGCGGUGAAAUGCGUAGAGAUCAGGAAGAACAUCGGUGGCGAAGGCGCUUUGCUGGACCAUAACUGACACUCAGGGACGAAAGCUAGGGGAGCGAAUGGGAUUAGAUACCCCAGUAGUCCUAGCCGUAAACGAUGGAUACUAGGUGUUGUCUGUAUCGACCCGGACAGUGCCGUAGCUAACGC
rnacentral:rRNA from 1 species